UACGAAGGGGGCUAGCGUUGUUCGGAAUUACUGGGCGUAAAGGGCGCGUAGGCGGCCUCGUCCGUCCGGCGUGAAAUGCCUGGGCUCAACCUGGGAGGUGCGCUUGAUACUCGAGGGCUUGAGUGCGGGAGAGGAGAGUGGAAUUCCCAGUGUAGAGGUGAAAUUCGUAGAUAUUGGGAAGAACACCGGUGGCGAAGGCGGCUCUCUGGACCGUAACUGACGCUGAGGCGCGAAAGCGUGGGGAGCAAACAGG
rnacentral:rRNA from 1 species